rnacentral:rRNA from 1 species
AUGGAGGAGGUGGAGCAUCGUCCAUGGUGUGCUCCCAUCCCUGGGCCCUUCUCGGCGAACGCCCAACGACUGCUGCUGCCCCUGCAUCCGCAUCCACAUCCGCAGCCGCUGGCGCUGGCGCAGGAGGACUACGACGCGAUCGACCGGUGGACGCGGGAGCCCAUGUCGCCGUCGGGCGUCCCCGAAGAGCUAUGGGGGCUGUGCUUCUUCGCCGCCCCACUCGACGACCACCAGUUGAUGAUGCAGGAGCCCGGCGGUGAGUCGUCGUCAGAGGUCCCCGAGGAGUCCCGGUGGCUGUUCAACGAAGACGACGCCGCUGUUCCUGCAGGCGUCGCUUCUCCGCCGCCGCCAUCGUCUGCAGCAGAUGCCCAGCUCCUGCAACCGCUGUCGCCACAGGAGGAGGUGGAUUAUGGUGUCGCCGAGUUGGACCAGUGGAUGCACGAUGGCGGCGAGCCCAGCAGAGCCGGAGGAGGAUUACGACGCCUUGGAAGAGCGGUAGAUGCAGGAGGGUGA